AGGGUUAGGAUUGAGAGAACGAGAAAGGCAGCAUGCGCCAUUGUUAUGAAUGUGGAUAGAGGGUGCCCAAAGAAGGUGUUGGCAGCCAAGAGAGCUGAGCUGUAAAAGGGGACAUCUUGAAGAGAAGUGGCUACAGGUAGCGAACCAGCUAUUUGGUCAUCACCUAUGAGGCAAGCAUGUGAGCGUAAGAGGAAUCUGGGAGCUGAUUCGAAAAGGUGAUAGGUCGGAAACAGAGACAGGCACAUCAAGUGCUUUCCUUCUUCCGUGUAGUGAAAAACCGAGGGAAUUGUUGGUUAAGCGGGUGCGUGCGAAGGUUUGAGAAAGGGUACAGGACAGUAAUGAUAGUACUGAAGCAGGAUAAAAACAAGGCUUCAUGGAAGAUUGCGUAGACCUAGAACCAACGAUAGUAAAUGCUGACGGAGAGGAAAGCUGGACAAGCGGUCUUUUUGUGAUUAAUACCUAAGGGACGAAGUGAAUGAAACGAGGAAGCAAAAAUGCAGUAGACCCCUGAUAUCCCCAGCAACUGCUGCAGAAGGAGGUGUUCUGCCACGGGCAAGUAAGAUAGAAAGGGAAGGAUACAAUACUUACACUUUCAGACGAAUUGCCACGGCUGAAGUUGAAGAGACCAGAAAAACGUAAGCAAGCUGAGGUGCGAAAACCACGUGGAACCAGCCAAGAGCCGUCUCCGUCUCCCGCAAACGAAAGCCCGUCCUUCCUGACUAGGAAGGCUCACUGUUAGUAGCCAUCGAAAUAAUAGAUCACAGACGUAUAACGAAGGUCUGUCCGCCUUACAGCAAGUACGCUACGUGUUCAUAACGUUGGGGAACAACUGCACACUGCCAUGAAGAAUUACAGGUCCCACCCUCAGACCUCUGCAAGUUAUCACAUUUCAGGAGCAGCCAGGAGGAUCCAAAUGCCAGCGGAAAGGUUUGCCUACCAGUCCCGACAAGAAGCCUUCAGUCAUAGGAAGGUUGGCCGUGUCCUUACUUGUGAGUAAUAAGCCACAAUUCACUGACGGGCAAAGGAAGCAGGGAAUAACGAUGGGUGGCCCAAUCACUGUGGCCCUGCUGUUGCUGGCAGGGCCAGCAGGUCUGCGUGAAGCCUCAGCUGCCUGCUUGGAGCUGUAUUUUGCUCUGUUUACCUGGAAGAAGCGGUGAGACCUUAAAAUAAGAAUUUUUGUGGUGAGACGAGUAAGCCGGAACCCCACCUGCAUUUUGCCUUCCUUUGCUGCUUCAUGUCGUAACAGCAACUUGGGAUCCCAGGAUGAAAACUGUUACAGUGCUGGGGGGGGGAGCACUGCAUCUGCCCAGGUUAGGGAACCAUCGUUAAAGCUUUGGGAGAGAAAAAGCUCUAAAACGAGAAUCUCCCGGGUGGUUUGAUUCAUGUUGAGGGUCAGUGUCAGAGCCUAGUACUCUCUGACAGGGUUCUUCUAGAUAUUCCACACAUACGGAGAGCAUAAUGUUUAAUACAGUGGUUUAAUUUAAAGGUAUGUGAUGUUACAUGAGAUUUUUGAUUUAGAGGAGUGAUACAGUAAUAUACUGAAAUCACAGUACAAGUGUAAUUGUUCUUACUGGUCUCUAUAAUACAUUCACCCUCAUGACAUCCGCACUCGCUGGGAAUACGUGGGUUGAAGCCAGCUCCAGCCCGUCGCUCUCUCCAAAAAUUCCUUUGUUGGUUGUUCAGGCUUUAUACUCUGUGUUGGGCUGAGCCACAUAUGCACUUACACCAUUCCUGAGCUUCAGGGACAUCUUGCCUGCGUCCAUCUCCUCUGAGCUUUCUUUCCUUACAGGGGUUAUUGGUCGCUUAUAGUCAGUCGUAAUUGUGGACUAGGGAGUAGCUCUAGGAGGGCCAUGCGGUUGCCUGGCCUCUCGGUAGCUGUUCUGGCCUCUUCGCAGGCGCUAAGCGUAGUCUGGCCGUCAAAAGAGCGUUGUCGUCGCUGGGAGCUCUCCGCAGAGAUCUGCGUCUGGCCGCCGAAGACGAGCGGAAGGCGAGCCCGGGCUUGCGACGUGGACGCAGCUAAGUCCUGGGGCUGCGUUGCGUGUGAGCAGGGCUGGGACGCGGCAGUGGUUUUGCCCUUGGCGGUUACGGGCGUCACUGGCCGUGGAUGGUUGCCCGCGGAGCCGAGAGGAGCAAAACUAUCAAUGGUCUGUGGGGGAGACGAAUUAGCGCUUGCGGCGUUUCAGGUGCGUUCAGUGGUCGCGCAGCCUGGCGCGAUCCAGCGGCACGAUUUGUGCAUGUGCUUAUGCUUUAGUGGCGGCUAAGCCCAAGCCUCUAAACAGCAACUGUAACAGGAUUGUGGUGCACGUCUUCCUGUUCUGCUGCCCUUCUAAGGGGAAAGUUCCCCUUAGAAAGUGCCCUUCCCCCCCUUUCUAAGGGGAAAGUUCCUAAGCUGUGGGCAAAACUCUUUGGCCGCUUCUUACUGUUCUCAUGCUCGUGGGUGCUGUGGCGUUCCUUGCUUAAAGCUAAGGGUUUGGACUUUUUCACUUGAGGUUUAUGUAGUUUGUUGCUGAGGGUCUCUCAUGCCGCAGUUGUGGUUUCUCACUUUAUUUUGUGGGGCUCAGUCUUUAUCAGGCACAGUUCACAGGUCCCUCAUUUAGCGAUCAGGGUGCAGGAUUGAAAAUGCAACCUCAUCCCGAGACUUUACAGCCUCAGAAACCAUUUGGGUGCCAAGAUGUGCAGUUCGUCACUUCAGGUUCAGGGCUUAGGGCUUCCUGAUGAGGGAAAAAUCCGUAAAUAAUAAACUGUAAGCCCUGAAGCCCGAGCAGCGGUUUGCCGUUUGCCAUCUUCCCCUGUGCUAGCGCUCCGCUCUGAGCGCCGAGCUGAGGCCUGGGCUUGAUACGGUGCAGGCCCACCACACAGACACUGGCGACGUGCGGCGGGCGAGCCGAGAGCCGUGCGAGCGUUCCGCGGGGCUCUGGUCUGGGGUAGAGCGGAAGCGCAGGCAGGCGAGUUCAGGCGUUGUCCUCUCCAAUUCUCAGAGCUGAAUCCUAUCCCCGAAGGAAAAAGCAGAAGGGGCAGGCCGUCGGCUACGCAGACACCUGCCGCCUCGGGGGCUGCGGCGGAAGCUGACCCUUCCCCGACGGACGGACGGACGGACGGUCGGACAGACGAACGCUGGCGUGGCGAUGACUCUUCAGGUGUCACGGGGUAAGGGGAAGCGUGCCGGCACCGAGCUCCGUGGCAGGCUCGCUCCCAGGUGGUGUUUCUGUGCAGUAAAACAAUAAACAGCCGCUUUAUU